rnacentral:rRNA from 1 species
UACGUAGGGUGCAGGCGUUAAUCGGAAUUACUGGGCGUAAAGCGUGCGCAGGCGGUCUAUUAAGUCAGGUGUGAAAUCCCCGGGCUUAACCUGGGAACUGCGCUUGUAACUGAUAGGCUGGAGUGUGGCAGAGGGGGGUGGAAUUCCACGUGUAGCAGUGAAAUGCGUAGAGAUGUGGAGGAACACCGAUGGCGAAGGCAGCCCCCUGGGCUAACACUGACGCUCAUGCACGAAAGCGUGGGGAGCAAACAGG